rnacentral:rRNA from 1 species
UGCUACAAUGGCGUAAACAAAGGGAGGCGAACCCGCGAGGGGAGCGAAUCCCAAAAAUAACGUCCCAGUUCGGACUGUAGUCUGCAACCCGACUACACGAAGCUGGAAUCGCUAGUAAUCGCGAAUCAGAACGUCGCGGUGAAUACGUUCCCGGGUCUUGUACACACCGCCCGUCACACCAUGGGAGUCGGGAAUGCCCGAAGCCGGUGACCCAACCGAAAGGAGGGAGCCGUCGAAGGCAGGUCGGAUGACUGGGGUGAAGUCGUAACAAGGUAAC